rnacentral:rRNA from 1 species
CCUACGGGAGGCAGCAGUGGGGAAUAUUGCACAAUGGGGGAAACCCUGAUGCAGCGACGCCGCGUGAGUGAGGAAGUAUUUCGGUAUGUAAAGCUCUAUCAGCAGGGAAGAAAAUGACGGUACCUGACUAAGAAGCACCGGCUAACUACGUGCCAGCAGCCGCGGUAAUACGUAGGGGGCAAGCGUUAUCCGGAUUUACUGGGUGUAAAGGGAGCGUAGACGGGUAAGCAAGUCAGAAGUGAAAACCUAGGGCUCAACCAUGGGACUGCUUUUGAAACUGAGUAGCUAGAGUGUAGGAGAGGUAGGCGGAAUUCCUGGUGUAGCGGUGAAAUGCGUAGAUAUUAGGAGGAACACUCGUUGCGAAGGCGGCUUACUGGAAUGUAACUGACGUUGAGGCUCGAAAGCGUGGGGAGCAAACAGGAUUAGAUACCCUUGUAGUC